AACGAACGCUGGCGGCAUGCCUAACACAUGCAAGUCGAACGAGACCUUCGGGUCUAGUGGCGCACGGGUGCGUAACGCGUGGGAACCUGCCCUUAGGUUCGGAAUAACUCCCCGAAAGGGGUGCUAAUACCGGAUAAUGUCUUCGGACCAAAGAUUUAUCGCCUUUGGAUGGGCCCGCGUUGGAUUAGCUAGUUGGUAGGGUAAAAGCCUACCAAGGCGACGAUCCAUAGCUGGUCUGAGAGGAUGAUCAGCCACACUGGGACUGAGACACGGCCCAGACUCCUACGGGAGGCAGCAGUGGGGAAUAUUGGACAAUGGGCGAAAGCCUGUUCCAGCAAUGCCGCGUGAGUGAUGAAGGCCUUAGGGUUGUAAAGCUCUUUUACCCGGGAUGAUAAUGACAGUACCGGGAGAAUAAGCUCCGGCUAACUCCGU
rnacentral:rRNA from 1 species